UACGUAGGGUGCAAGCGUUAAUCGGAAUUACUGGGCGUAAAGCGUGCGCAGGCGGCUAUGCAAGACAGAUGUGAAAUCCCCGGGCUCAACCUGGGAACUGCAUUUGUGACUGCAUAGCUAGAGUACGGUAGAGGGGGAUGGAAUUCCGCGUGUAGCAGUGAAAUGCGUAGAUAUGCGGAGGGAACACCGAUGGCGAAGGCAAUCCCCUGGACCUGUACUGACGCUCAUGCACGAAAGCGUGGGGAGCAAACAGG
rnacentral:rRNA from 1 species